rnacentral:rRNA from 1 species
AGAGGGUGCAAGCGUUAAUCGGAUUUACUGGGCGUAAAGCGUGUGUAGGUGGUUGGGAAAGUCAAUUGUGAAAGCCCCGGGCUUAACUCGGGAACUGCUUUUGAUACUGUCUGACUAGAAUUCGGUAGAGGGAGGCGGAACUCCAGGUGUAGCGGUGAAAUGCGUAGAUAUCUGGAAGAACACCAAUGGCGAAGGCAACCUCCUGGGCCUGAAUUGACACUGAGACACGAAAGCGUGGGGAUCAAACAGGAUUAGAUACCCUGGUAGUCCACGCCGUAAACGAUGACAACUUGACGUCGGUUUGCUCUGCGAAUCGGUGUCGUAGCUAACGCGAUAAGUUGUCCGCCUGGGGAGUACGGCCGCAAGGUUG